UUAACCGACUGAGCCACCUAGACACCCCAUAAUAUUUCUUUUGAAAAACAUUUUAAAACCCCUGGUUGAGAGGCAACAAUGCAGAAUGGGAACAGUACUAAAAAGCUCUUAAAGAACUGGCAACCAAUCAUUUCCUGCUUUUCAACUGCUAUUAGCAAAUCUUUAAAGGCUGCUCCAUAAUCAUUGUGAGGAGUCACUGACAAUGGGACAGUGAUAAUGACUGGAACCAGUCUUAUUCCUCAUCCGACCUCUUUACUACCACUUCCUACUUACAUUCCAUGAGAAUUAUUAUAAGAGUCACCAAUAGAUGUAGCUACUAAGAUCCAUUAAAAAAUAUUUAAUUUUAGAAGGGAAUUUCUGGAAAUACUGCCCUAGAAAUGGAUUUUCUUUACAUCUGGAUUUUAGAGUUAGAAAAUAAUCCUACCUUCUUAAAAAAGGUUGAAAGCACAAGUUAUAAGGCCAGGUAGUUGCACUUUAUCAGAAGAUAGGACAGAUGGGGAGGAGGAGCUGAGACCUAACAGGAGGCUCAAUUGUUAUUUUGCUUCUCUGAAGAUGAAGGUUAAGGAGAGAACAAGGUAAUUCAUAGAGAAGGCAAUUUCCAGUGCAGCAAUGGUGAGCACCAGGGGUCCCAGAUGAAGAGAUAACGGUCAUACAUUCCUGAACCUAAAGACAAGAGCUAAGUAAUUCUAUUGGUUGUUUAUAUCUGGCAAAAGAAUAAUUAAAUAAUCUGAACUCUAA